CCCUUAGAUGUUCUGGGCUGCACGCGCGCUACACUGACGCACGCAACAGGUGCCUGCUCCGAGAGGACUGGGUAAUCAUUUGAGUGUGCGUCGUGAUGGGGAUAGAAUAUUGUAAUUAUUACUCUUCAACGAGGAAUUCCUAGUAAGCGCCAGUCAGCAGCUUGCGCUGAUUACGUCCCUGCCCUUUGUACACACCGCCCGUCGCUCCUACCGAUGGGUGAUCCGGUGAAUGAUUCGGACUUCAGCGGCUCCCCUGGGGUGCGCCGGAGAAAGUUUUGUGGACCUUAUCACUUGGAGGAAGGAGAAGUCGUAACA
rnacentral:rRNA from 1 species